rnacentral:misc_RNA from 1 species
GGGCUGGCUCGUUUGGUGCGAGGGAUAAGGAAAUAGUAAUGGGAUAAAAAAAAUGUUUGGUUGCCUUGUUUGGAAUAAGUUAUCCCACCGUUUAAUCAUAGCGAUGGAAUAAGUUAUCUCAUAUACCUGGUGGGAUAAGUUAUCCCAGAUGAGCCCUAUGUGGGAUAGCUUGUUUCUAACCAAACAACCCCUUACGGUGUCCCAACAAGUCUCUGCUCAGUACAACAAUGUAAUUUCAUUAGUGGGGUCUGACGGUAUUAAAUGUAAAAAUUUCCCUUAAAUAAUAAUUUGUUAAAUUGUAUUGAGAAAAAGGGAUCCUUGUGAUAGA